UACGUAGGGUGCGAGCGUUAAUCGGAAUUAUUGGGCGUAAAGCGCGCGUAGGCGGUUUUUUAAGUCUGAUGUGAAAGCCCACGGCUCAACCGUGGAGGGUCAUUGGAAACUGGAAAACUUGAGUGCAGAAGAGGAAAGUGGAAUUCCAUGUGUAGCGGUGAAAUGCGCAGAGAUAUGGAGGAACACCAGUGGCGAAGGCGACUUUCUGGUCUGUAACUGACGCUGAUGUGCGAAAGCGUGGGUAGCAAACAGGAUUAGAUACCCCAGUAGUCC
rnacentral:rRNA from 1 species